CGCCACUGGGGGACGCAAAGUGUGUCACACCAUGGCAGAGGGGAGCCCCGUCCAACACGGACCCUUACAGAAAGUGACUUGCCCCCAGAGGCAGUGGUAUAGACACCACCUGCCUCCCAGGUGGGGUGACCAGCUCAUCCUGCCUUGUCUGGGACUCUCCUGGUGUUAGCCCUGAAAGCCCCACAUCCCAGGAAAGCCCAGGCCUUGGCAGACCAGGAUGGUCGUCACCCACUUCUAGUCCCGGGUGACAGCUCAGCUCUCGAAGCAAACUGCCACCAACUGCCCCUACAGGGGGCAUCCAGGUGGGUGACCCAGACCCUUCCCCCCCAUCCAGCAGCACGUGGGGACCCGACCCAGAGCCGAGACUGCCCUCCUGACAGCCCUGGUCACGGUGACCCCUCCCAUCCCAUCCUCACAGAAGGGGGACCGAUGCUUCUCUCAGAAUCCAGUCAAAGCUGGCUUGCUGGGCAGAAAGGGACAGUCCCCCAGUCUCUGCCUAUUGCUGGGAUGUUGGCUAUCAUACCUCAGGUGGACAGGUCCCCCUUCUAGGCUCUGGGCUCCCUUACCCUCGUCAAAUCCUCUUCUUGCCAGAGAUCCCUGAGUUCACAGCAUGCCCUCCAGAAGGACCCAAGGAAUGGCCUCAUGGCCCCAACUGACUUCUGCAGCCAAGCGAGGAAAGCCAAAGAGACCAAACCAGGACCCUGGCAACUUCUGUGGCAGGAAGCCCACAGACCCCAGCAUGAAUAGGCUCUGGGAUGGCGCCAACCAGAAACAUCUUGGAAGCAGCUUAGUGGAUGUUGUGGCGAAACCUGGAAGGAACACCAUCGUCUCUGGCCGGGCCCUCCCUGAGAACGCGGCCACAACAACAGAGCCGUUGCCCUCACCUCGCGCAGUGUCAGAGCGGUGCUCUCACCCCAGCGUAUGAAGAUGCAGAUUCCAGUCUCAUCAAUGCAGAACCUGCUCCGUCCACCACUCCCGUGGACACAGUUGGCCAAUCACCCAUGAGAUCAAGUUCCCCCCCAAGCUCUGGGGGCUGUCUUCCAUCUCUUGAUGAGUGAGUGAGGACACUGCUGGGCAGAGGAAUGCAGGGCAGGCUCAGUGGCUGCCCCUCUGUCCAGGGUCCCUGCAUCCUUCAACACGAUCGUGGAUCAGGAAUUCCUUUCUAUGAUUUUAUGGAAAGACCUGAUGUCUCCUCGUUCCUGUGGGUGCCUGAGGGACUGUCAGUUAAAACCCUCACCCAUAGCUCAUCCAGAGACGGCUAUGUUUGCCUGUCCACUGGCUACCAG
rnacentral:lncRNA from 1 species